CACGUAGGGGGCGAGCGUUGUCCGGAUUCAUUGGGCGUAAAGCGCGCGCAGGCGGCUUGGAAAGUCGGGUGUGAAAACUCGGGGCUCAACCCCGGGCGUGCAUCCGAUACUGCCAGGCUUGAGGCAGGUAGGGGAGAUCGGAAUUCCUGGUGUGGCGGUGAAAUGCGCAGAUAUCAGGAGGAACACCGGUGGCGAAGGCGGAUCUCUGGGCCUGUCCUGACGCUGAGGCGCGAAAGCUAGGGGAGCGAACAGG
rnacentral:rRNA from 1 species